AGUGAACGCUGGCGGCGUAGAUUAGGCAUGCAAGUCGCGCGAUCUCGUAAGAGAUAGCGGCAAAUGGGUGAGUAACACGUAAGUAAUUUUCCUUAUAUCUGAACAUAGCCCUAUGAAAGUAGGGGUAAUAUUCAAUGACACCAUGAGAUGGCAUCAUUUUAUGGUUAAAGCUGGGGACCGCAAGGUCUGGCGAUACAAGAUGAGCUUGCGAAGCAUCAGCUAGUUGGUAGGGUAAUGGCCUACCAAGGCUAAGACGCUUAGGUGGUCUGAGAGGAUGGUCAUCCACACUGGGACUGAGACACUGCCCAGACUCCUACGGGAGGCUGUAGUCGAGAAUCUUUAGCAAUGGACGAAAGUCUGACUAUGCGACGCCGCGUGAGGGAUGAAGGAUUUCGGUUCGUAAACCUCUUUUGGCAGGAAAGAAAUACUUAUUUAAUAGAUAAAGUACUGACGGUACCUGCAGAAUAAGCCACGGCUAAC
rnacentral:rRNA from 1 species